UACGUAGGUGGCAAGCGUUGUCCGGAUUUACUGGGCGUAAAGAGCGCGCAGGCGGUCGUUCAAGUCGCGUGUGAAAGCCCCCGGCUCAACUGGGGAGGGUCACGCGAUACUGAUCGACUCGAAGGCAGGAGAGGAUAGUGGAAUUCCCAGUGUAGUGGUGAAAUACGUAGAGAUUGGGAAGAACACCAGUGGCGAAGGCGGCUAUCUGGACGGUUUCUGACGCUAAGACGCGAAAGCGUGGGGAGCAAACAGG
rnacentral:rRNA from 1 species